AGUGAACGCUGGCGGUAGGCCUAACACAUGCAAGUCGAACGGCAGCACAGUAAGAGCUUGCUCUUACGGGUGGCGAGUGGCGGACGGUUGAGGAAUACAUCGGAAUCUACUUUUUCGUGGGGGAUAACGUAGGGAAACUUACGCUAAUACCGCAUACGACCUACGGGUGAAAGCAGGGGAUCUUCGGACCUUGCGCGAUUGAAUGAGCCGAUGUCGGAUUGGCUAGUUGGCGGGGUAAAGGCCCACCAAGGCGACGAUCCGUGGCUGGUGUGAGAGGGAGAUCAGCCACAUUGGAACUGAGACACGGUCCAGACUCCUACGGGAGGCAGCAGUGGGGAAUAUUGGACAAUGGGCGCAAGCCUGAUCCAGCCAUACCGCGUGGGUGAGGAAGGCCUUCGGGUUGUAAAGCCCUUUUGUUGGGAAAGAAAAGCAGCAGGUUAAUACCCCGCUGUUCUGACGGUACCCAAAGAAUAAGCACCGGCUAACUUCGUG
rnacentral:rRNA from 1 species